CUGACACAUUCCUGUACAAAUGUAAGGGCAAAUUUGUAAUUUUGACUAUAAAUGAAUAAAAAGAUUAUUCUACUAUCACAUUGUAUACAUUGUGUCUGUGAUACAUCCUUUGAGUGAGUAUAAAUAUUAAUUCAUAUUUUCAAGAGUUAAAAAUUUAAGGCAUGAAUUUACAUAACUAACUCAUAAACAACUCCUGACCAUAGGAUCAUCACGAGGAU
rnacentral:lncRNA from 1 species